rnacentral:rRNA from 1 species
AGUGAACGCUGGCGGUAUGCCUAGCACAUGCAAGUCGAACGGCAGCACAGUAAGAGCUUGCUCUUACCGGUGGCGAGUGGCGGACGGGUGAGGAAUACAUCGGAAUCUACUUUUUCGUGGGGGUUAACGUAGGGAAACUUACGCUAAUACCGCAUACCACCUACGGGUGAAAGCAGUGGAUCUUCGGACCUUGCGCGAUUGAAUGAGCCGAUGUCGGAUUAGCUGGUUGGCGGGGUGAAGGACCACCAUGUCGACGAUCCGUAGCUGGUGUGAGAGGAUGAUCAGCGACAGUGGAGCUGAGACAGGGUCCAGACUCCUGCGGGAGGCAGCAGUAGGGAAUAUUGGACAAUGGGCGGAAGCCUGAUCCAGCGAUACCGGGUGUGUGAAGAGAGCCUUCGGGUUGGAAAGCCCUUUUGUUGGGGAAGAAAAGCAGCAGGUUAAUACCCCGCUGGUCUGACGGUACCCAAAGAAUAAGCACCGGCUAACUUCGUG